UACGAAGGGGGCUAGCGUUGCUCGGAAUCACUGGGCGUAAAGCGCACGUAGGCGGCUUGUUAAGUCAGGGGUGAAAUCCUGGAGCUCAACUCCAGAACUGCCUUUGAUACUGGCGAGCUUGAGUUCGGGAGAGGUGAGUGGAACUGCGAGUGUAGAGGUGAAAUUCGUAGAUAUUCGCAAGAACGCCAGUGGCGAAGGCGGCUCACUGGCCCGAUACUGACGCUGAGGUGCGAAAGCGUGGGGAGCAAACAGG
rnacentral:rRNA from 1 species